AGCAAUACCGCUGACGACCGGCGCACGGGUGAGUAACACGUAUCCAACCUACCCCCCUCCUAGGGAUAGCCUUUCGAAAGAAAGAUUAAUACCCGAUCUUAUAGCGAUAAGGCAUCUUAUUGCUAUUAAAGAAUUUCGGUGUUUGAUGGGGAUGCGUUCCAUUAGAUUGUUGGUGAGGUAACGGCUCACCAAGUCUUCGAUGGAUAGGGGUUCUGAGAGGAAGGUCCCCCACAUUGGGACUGAGACACGGUCCAAACUCCUACGGGAGGCAGCAGUGAGGAAUAUUGGUCAAUGGACGAGAGUCUGAACCAGCCAAGUAGCGUGAAGGAUGAAGGCCCUAUGGGUCGUAAACUUCUUUUAUAGGGGAAUAAAGUGCGGAACGUGUUCCGUUUUGUAUGUACCCUACGAAUAAGGAUCGGCUAACUCCGUGCCAGCAGCCGCGGUAAUACGGAGGAUCCGAGCGUUAUCCGGAUUUAUUGGGUUUAAAGGGAGCGUAGGUGGACGUAUAAGUCAGUUGUGAAAGUUUGCGGCUCAACCGUAAAAUUGCAGUUGAUACUGUAUGUCUUGAGUGUACAAGAGGUGGGCGGAAUUCGUGGUGUAGCGGUGAAAUGCUUAGAUAUCACGAAGAACUCCGAUUG
rnacentral:rRNA from 1 species